rnacentral:rRNA from 1 species
GAUGAACGCUGGCGGCGUGCCUAAUACAUGCAAGUCGAGCGAACAGACGAGGAGCUUGCUCCUCUGACGUUAGCGGCGGACGGGUGAGUAACACGUGGAUAACCUACCUAUAAGACUGGGAUAACUUCGGGAAACCGGAGCUAAUACCGGAUAAUAUAUUGAACCGCAUGGUUCAAUAGUGAAAGACGGUUUUGCUGUCACUUAUAGAUGGAUCCGCGCCGCAUUAGCUAGUUGGUAAGGUAACGGCUUACCAAGGCAACGAUGCGUAGCCGACCUGAGAGGGUGAUCGGCCACACUGGAGCUGAGACACGGUCCAGACUCCUACGGGAGGCAGCAGUAGGGAAUCUUCCGCAAUGGGCGAAAGCCUGACGGAGCAACGCCGCGUGAGUGAUGAAGGUCUUCGGGUCGUAAAACGCUGUUAUGAGGGAAGAACAAAUGUGUAAGUAACGAUGCACGUCUUGACGGUACCGAAUCAGAAAGCCACGGCUAACUACGU